CGGGACGUAGCGCAGUCUGGUAGCGUACCUGAAUGGGGUUCAGGUGGUCGGAGGUUCGAAUCCUCUCGUCCCGA
rnacentral:tRNA from 1 species